rnacentral:piRNA from 1 species
UUGCUCCUUCCAGCUACAAGUUACGCCGCUC